rnacentral:rRNA from 1 species
AGAGUUUGAUCCUGGCUCAGAACGAACGCUGGCGGCAGGCCUCAAACAUGCAAGUCUAGGGGGGUAGCAAUACCCACCGGCGGACGGGUGCGUAACACGUGGGAAUAUACCUUUCGGUACGGAACAACUGCGGGAAACUGCAGCUAAUACCGUAUACGUCCUUCGGGAGAAAGUUUUUCGCCGAAAGAUUAGCCCGCGUU